UACGGAGGGUGCAAGCGUUAUCCGGAUUCACUGGGUUUAAAGGGUGCGUAGGCGGGCAGGUAAGUCGGGUGUGAAAUCUCGGAGCUUAACUCCGAAACUGCAUUCGAUACUGCCGUGCUUGAGGACUGGAGAGGAGACUGGAAUUUACGGUGUAGCGGUGAAAUGCGUAGAUAUCGUAAGGAAGACCAGUGGCGAAGGCGGGUCUCUGGACAGUUCCUGACGCUGAGGCACGAAGGUCAGGGGAGCAAACGGG
rnacentral:rRNA from 1 species